UUUCACUUGUCUUCUUCCAAAAACGACCAGACCUAUUCACUUAAGCUUCUCUUCUUAUUUCUUCACUUCCAUAUUCACAUAAGAGAAUAUCAAACCCUAAGAACUCAUAGAAGUAUAGCUAGAACAAGUUCUUCACCUUUUCUAGCUGAAAAUCCUACGUUUUGAAGUUUGAAUUCAUCUAUAAUCAAGGACUCUAGCACAACCUAUAUGAGACUGAUCUUUUCACUUCAUAGACCAUAUUGGACUUGAGGUAAGUUGAAGCUUUCAUUUGCUCAUCAUAAGAACCUAAUUAUGUGUUUUAAUGUGACUUUUGCUAUGUGUUCUCCAUGAUGUUUGAAUGAUUGAUGAGUCAUAGUGAUAUGAAAGAAUAUGUUUUGAAAAUGGGAGUAUGGUACUUGAUUGAUGGUCGAGUAGGCAAGGGACGCGGGAGGAACCGGCGGACCCAACACAUGGUGGCAAAUACCUGAGGUCGAAAGACCAGUAUGGAAAACCCACAAUUAAUGAAAUGAAAUACGGCUAAUACCAGAGGUCGAAAGGCCGGUAUGGAAACCCCCGUAUUAUCUAUGGCCAAAUAUGAUGAACAGGUUCCGAAAACGAAAGCCUAUUGCUAUCAGUCAAGUACCACACUUCAAGGGUACCCGAUAAAGAGAAGGAUUUCAAAGAAAAGGAUCAUGAAUGAAGUUAUAUGUGAUAUUGUACUUAUUGAAUGAAUAAUGUGUUAUGUGAUAUAUCGCUAUUACAUCAGUUUCAACUUGCUGAGCCAUUAGCUCAUUAGGUUCUUAUGAUGCAGGUAAUGAUGUACAUAUUUAGAAGUUGACCUAGCCAAAAGCGGGCCAGUCAGAGAUUUGUUCAUAUGCCAUGCUUCGAGCCAUUUUUGUAGCCGAGCUAGAAACUCUGAUUUAAUUUUGUUAGCCG
rnacentral:lncRNA from 1 species